AUUCCUUGGUGCCACUGACCACAGCUCUUUCUUCAGGGACAGACAUGGCUCAGCGGAUGACAACACAGCUGCUGCUCCUUCUAGUGUGGGUGGCUGUAGUAGGGGAGGCUCAGACAAGGAUUGCAUGGGCCAGGACUGAGCUUCUCAAUGUCUGCAUGAACGCCAAGCACCACAAGGAAAAGCCAGGCCCCGAGGACAAGUUGCAUGAGCAG
rnacentral:lncRNA from 1 species